rnacentral:rRNA from 1 species
GACGAACGCUGGCGGCGUGCUUAACACAUGCCAGUCGAACGAAAAGAGGGAAAGAGCUUGCUCUUUCCGGAAUUGAGUGGCAAACGGGUGAGUAACACGUAAACAACCUGCCUUCAGGAUGGGGACAACAGACGGAAACGACUGCUAAUACCGAAUAAGUUCCAAGGGCCGCAUGGCCCAUGGAAGAAAAGGUGGCCUCUACCUGUAAGCUAUCGCCUGAAGAGGGGUUUGCGUCUGAUUAGCUGGUUGGAGGGGUAACGGCCCACCAAGGCGACGAUCAGUGGCCGGUCUGAGAGGAUGAACGGCCACACUGGAACUGAGACACGGUCCAGACUCCUACGGGAGGCAGCAGUGGGGAAUCUUCCGCAAUGGGCGAAAGCCUGACGGAGCAACGCCGCGUGAGUGAUGACGGCCUUCGGGUUGUAAAACUCUGUGAUCCGGGACGAAAAGGCAGAGUGCGAAGAACAAACUGCAUUGACGGUACCGGAAAAGCAAGCCACGGCUAACUACGUG